rnacentral:lncRNA from 1 species
GUCUCUUUCCUUCAGAAGUGGCGGCCGGCUGGACCGAACACACUCCACCCAUAUGCAGAAAGUGUGGACUGUGAGAAACCUAUCAGCCCCUGGCUAAAUCCUUUGAUGAGGAGGACCGGUAUUUUGUCCGCAGGGCAGGAACGCAUCUGAGAUGUUCUUCAAAAAUGUGAUCGGACAUCUGACAUUAAGGCCUCUGUCACCCGGCAUGGCCAGGCCCUUGGGGUGGCCCUGCACUCACUGGAGGGGUUGGAUCUGCCAGUUGGCCUGGGAGUAGCUGGUGAUAGGACAGCCUGGAAAUCGCUGCUGUGGAUGGGUGAGAUGGUUGAAGUGUGCCAGAGGAGUCAGCAAUCAGAAGGAAGCCGGGACCAAGCCAACCUAUUACAUGAAGACAGGGUGAAAGCGGCAGCAGCAGCACUGAGAUCACAGAUCUCGCUCCCAUUCUGCACAAAGCCACCGUUCAUCCAUUAAUCUCCACCAUCCAACCAUCUGCAGCCCAUCUUCGCACUCACACAAACCUCCUCUCACAGGCCCUGACCUCACUCAAUCAAGUUGCUGUAUGAGACCCAAGUAUGAUAUCACUCUAGUUUAUCUCAAUCUGUAAACCUGGGCUCAUCUCUAAACACAUAUGAAGUGUUUGCAUUAUACAGUAAUGUAUGCAUG